GUAGGUGGCAAGCGUUGUCCGGAAUUAUUGGGCGUAAAGCGCGCGCAGGCGGUUCUUUAAGUCUGAUGUGAAAGCCCACGGCUCAACCGUGGAGGGUCAUUGGAAACUGGAGAACUUGAGUACAGGAGAGGAAAGCGGAAUUCCACGUGUAGCGGUGAAAUGCGUAGAGAUGUGGAGGAACACCAGUGGCGAAGGCGGCUUUCUGGUCUGUAACUGACGCUGAGGCGCGAAAGCGUGGGGAGCAAACAGGAUUAGAUACCCUGGUAGUCCACGCCGUAAACGAUGAGUGCUAAGUGUUAGGGGGUUUCCGCCCCCCUUAGUGCUGCAGCUAACGCAUUAAGCACUCCGCCUGGGAUACGGCCGCAAGGCUG
rnacentral:rRNA from 1 species